rnacentral:rRNA from 1 species
AUGCCGUCCAACGAGCUGGCCCUCGCGAGCCUGGUGUACCAUUUCGACUGGGAGCUAGCCAGCGGGAGGAAGCCGCCCGUGGACAUGACCGAGCUGCACGGGCUCUCCGUGCGCCUGAAGACGCCUCUGCUUCUGGCUGCUAAACCGUGGUCAGGCCGUGGUGUCGAAUGA